CCUGAGCAGACUUAACGUGAUCGCUACAUCCCUCCUCUGCAAGAAUUAACAUCAUGUCUCAUCACUCCAUUCUUGGUACCUCUGGACACAAGCACUUCAGCUCCUGUUCAAUGGCUUCUCCUAAACAUGGCAGCUCUUACCACACAUUAUCUCACUCCUCCAAAUCAGCAGCUCAUGGUCAUAAGACACUGCAUUGCUUUAGCAGCAGAAGUGCCCAUAGUAUGGGUUCCAGGGGAAACAAGAUCUCAGUGGGAAGCUGCCAUUCUGGGAAAACUGGACAUGGAUCUGGACAUGGAUCUGGUCAUGGAUCUGGAUAUGGAUCUGGUUUCGGUAUUGGAGGUAUUGGUUAUGGAUUUGGG